rnacentral:tRNA from 1 species
GCGGACAUAGCUCAGUUGGUAGAGCAUUAGCUUCCCAAGCUAAGGGUCGCGGGUCCGAAUCCCGUUGUCCGCUCCA